GUACACUCCUGCGGGAGGCAGCAGUGGGGAAUUUUGGACAAUGGGCGAAAGCCUGAUCCAGCAAUGCCGCGUGUGUGAAGAAGGCCUUCGGGUUGUAAAGCACUUUUGUCCGGAAAGAAAUCCUUGGCUCUAAUACAGUCGGGGGAUGACGGUACCGGAAGAAUAAGCACCGGCUAACUACGUGCCAGCAGCCGCGGUAAUACGUAGGCUGCGAGCGUUAAUCGGAAUUACUGGGCGUAAAGCGUGCGCAGGCGGUUUGCUAAGACCGAUGUGAAAUCCCCGGGCUCAACCUGGGAACUGCAUUGGUGACUGGCAGGCUAGAGUAUGGCAGAGGGGGGUAGAAUUCCACGUGUAGCAGUGAAAUGCGUAGAGAUGUGGAGGAAUACCGAUGGCGAAGGCAGCCCCCUGGGCCAAUACUGACGCUCAUGCACGAAAGCGUGGGGAGCAAACAGGAUUAGAUACCCUUGUAGUCCCAUG
rnacentral:rRNA from 1 species